UACGUAGGCAGCAAGCGUUGUUCGGAGUUACUGGGCGUAAAGGGCGCGUAGGCGGACAGCUUAGUCAGAGGUGAAAGCCCAGGGCUCAACCUUGGAAUUGCCUUUGAUACUGGCUGUCUUGAGUUCGGGAGAGGUGAGUGGAAUGCCGAGUGUAGAGGUGAAAUUCGUAGAUAUUCGGCGGAACACCAGUGGCGAAGGCGACUCACUGGCCCGAUACUGACGCUGAGGCGCGAAAGCGUGGGGAGCAAACAGG
rnacentral:rRNA from 1 species